GGAGAGGAACUUGUUCCUCGAGUCGUUGAUUUCACACUGCCGAGAAAAGCCUCUAGCUAGAAUAACGGUGCCCGUACCGCAAACCGACACAGGUAGUCAAGAUGAGAAUUCUAAGGUGAGCGAGCGAACUCUCGUUAAGGAACUCGGCAAAAUGACCCCGUAACUUCGGGAGAAGGGGUGCUCUUUGAGGUUCACGCUUCGAAGAGCCGCAGUGAAUAGGCCCAAGCGACUGUUUAUCAAAAACACAGGUCUCUGCUAAACCGUAAGGUGACGUAUAGGGGCUGACGCCUGCCCGGUGCUGGAAGGUUAAGAGGAGUGGUUAGCGCAAGCGAAGCUACGAAUCGAAGCCCCAGUAAACGGCGGCCGUAACUAUAACGGUCCUAAGGUAGCGAAAUUCCUUGUCGGGUAAGUUCCGACCCGCACGAAAGGCGUAACGAUUUGGGCACUGUCUCAACGAGAGACUCGGUGAAAUCAUAGUACCGGUGAAGAUGCCGGUUACCCGCGACAGGACGGAAAGACCCCGUGGAGCUUUACUGUAGCCUGAUAUUGAAAUUCGGUACAGUUUGUACAGGAUAGGUAGGAGCCUUAGAAGCGUGAGCGCUAGCUUACGUGGAGGCAUUGGUGGGAUACUACCCUAAUUGUAUUGGAUUUCUAACCCGCAGCACUUAUCGUGCUGGGAGACAGUGUCAGGCGGGCAGUUUGACUGGGGCGGUCGCCUCCUAAAGAGUAACGGAGGCGCUCAAAGGUUCCCUCAGAAUGGUUGGAAAUCAUUCAUAGAGUGUAAAGGCAUAAGGGAGCUUGACUGCGAGACCUACAAGUCGAGCAGGGUCGAAAGACGGACUUAGUGAUCCGGUGGUUCCGCAUGGAAGGGCCAUCGCUCAACGGAUAAAAGCUACCCCGGGGAUAACAGGCUUAUCUCCCCCAAGAGUUCACAUCGACGGGGAGGUUUGGCACCUCGAUGUCGGCUCAUCGCAUCCUGGGGCUGUAGUCGGUCCCAAGGGUUGGGCUGUUCGCCCAUUAAAGCGGUACGCGAGCUGGGUUCAGAACGUCGUGAGACAGUUCGGUCCCUAUCCGUCGUGGGCGUAGGAAAUUUGAGAGGAGCUGUCCUUAGUACGAGAGGACCGGGAUGGACAUACCUCUGGUGUACCAGUUGUCGUGCCAACGGCAUAGCUGGGUAGCUAUGUAUGGACGGGAUAAGUGCUGAAAGCAUCUAAGCAUGAAGCCCCCCUCGAGAUGAGAUUUCCCAACUUCGGUUAUAAG
rnacentral:rRNA from 1 species